GGGAAACCGGGGCUAAUACCGGAUAACACAUGAAACCGCAUGGUUUCAUGAUGAAAGACGGUUUUGCUGUCACUUAUAGAUGGACCCGCGGCGUAUUAGCUAGUUGGUAAGGUAACGGCUUACCAAGGCAACGAUACGUAGCCGACCUGAGAGGGUGAUCGGCCACACUGGAACUGAGACACGGUCCAG
rnacentral:rRNA from 1 species